AGGGCAGUUUAGCCCAUAUUACAAAAGUAUCCUGCGCAAUUUUCGUGUUUGAUAUCCCAUAAACGGAAGAACCAAGGCCCGCACUAAAUGCAAGGCCCGUAUAAAAGUCACUAUUCCGCCAGUGUUAUGGAACCGACCAGGACCCUCGGUUACGUUUCACGUGAUGCUACAGUGUUUGAGUUUAAUUCUUUGGUUUACAAUUUUGCCCCCUGACUGGUUCACCACUUCUCUGUUCUUCGU
rnacentral:lncRNA from 1 species